CCGACUGGGAUCAUCGGCUCACCAAGAAUCUGAACAACUCCAGUCUCUAAAAGGAAACUAAAUGAAGACGUUUCUCACAAUAAUCUGAUUUACUGCUUCUCUUCCUGAUGUGUGGACAAAUUAUCAGACGAAUGCAGUGAUUUAUAAGCUACAAAUACGUGAAAUUAGACGCUUACAGGAGUAGAAUUAAAGCAUCUUUAUUUACUUUUACUCCAGAUUACAGCUUCAGGUGAACGUUAAGGCGUCUGAAGUCAUUAACUGUGUUCCUGCGACGUUUGGAAGCUGGAAGGCUUUAAAUAGAGAAACGAGGUGGAAACAGGCCCAGAGCAGCGACGGCAGAAAGGGGUUAGACCCUGAUGGAUCUGAUCCUGGGUCAGUCUCUCAUCCAGCUGCAGAAACAAUCACGACAAGGACGGCGUCCUCGUUUAGCUGCAGAGACGAAUCACGUCCACGGCCUCCAUUAGACGCUGGAGGCCUGAGGAGACCAGAGACCUCUGCAGCAAGGCCUCGACUCGAAGGUCAAACCUCAGCAGAAUCCAGACUGACCUGAGUCCAUCAUGAACCAGAGUCCUGAAUAGACAAGUCCAGCAGGAACCGGAGUCCUGAAGAGACGAGUCCACGUCACAAUGUGUUCAUCGACACACAAAAGAGUGAUAUUAGGCAAAUUUGGGACACAAUGAUCUAAUUAUAUCUGGACCAGGACAGCUGGAUGUAGGCUAACUGUCACCACAGCCGUUAAUAAUGGAGGGCAGCCGAGUGCACGGAGCUGGAAGGAACGGGUUCACAGGACCAGGACACCAGGUCACCAUGAGACCAGGAGACCUGAAGACCAGGAGACCUGACGACCUAAAGACCAGGAUACCACGAGACCUGAAGACCUGAAAACCUAAACACCAGAAGACACUGUAAACCAGAAAACCUAAAGACCAGAAGACCUUAAGACCUGAAGACCCAGAAAACCUAAAGACUUGAAGACCUGAAGACCCUGUAAACCAGAAAACCUGAAGAUCUAAAGACCUGAAGACCUGAAGGCCUUAAGCCCAGGAGACCUGGAGGCCAGAAGACCUGAAGAACUAAAGACCUGAAGACCCUGUAAACCAGAAAACCUAAAGACCAGGAGACCUGAAGAACUUGUAAACAAGAAGACCUGAAGACCUAAAGAACUGAAGACCUGAAGACAUGAAGAACUGAAGACCUAAAGACCAGAAGACCCUGUAAGCCAGAAAACCUAAAGACGAGAAAACCUGAAGACCUAAACACCAGAAGACCCUGUAAACCAGAAAAUCUAGAGACCUGAAGACUUUAAGACCAGGAGACCUGAAGACCUUAAGACCAGGAGACCUGAAGAACUUGUAAACAAGAAGACCUGAAGACCAGAAGACUUGAAGACCUGAAGACCUGAAGGCCCUGACAACCUGAAGACCUAAACACCAGAAGACCCUGUAAACCAGAAAACCUAAAGACCAGAAGACCAGAAGACUUGAGUCUGACGCAAACACCCAGUAGGUCGGGAUAAAGUUUAAUCAUAAACUCACAAAGAAUCAGCUGGAAUCAGUAAAAAUCCUCCCUGAGCUCAGAUAAAAGAUGAGGUGGGCCUGAAAGAGCCACAGAUUUUUGAAAAUAUUUUAGAUGAUUGAUAAACGUUCAGGGUUUUUCCGCCAAAUUUGAAUUUUCAGCGCCCUGCUGAUUGGUUUCAGGCAGCUCUAUAAUUGAGAAUUUCUUGAAAAAUUAAGUUUUUCACCAGUUUUGUUAAUCGACGCUUUUCUUUACUUAAACAUAACGGACGUCUUCGUUCAUCAAAAGCUGGGAUCUCGAGUUGGUCGGAUAAAUGUCACGAAUAGCAGCGAAAAACACCAGAGAUAAAUGUUGAAAAGGUUCUCUUCUAACUUAACCUAUAAAACAUAAAUAAAGACAUUUCUGUUCUCUGAAAGAACAUGUUGGUUUAUCCCUGAAUGGUGCAAAUUUCUGGUAUGGCAGCGUUUUUAUUCAUCUAUAAUGCAGAAGACAGUCAGAAAAUGUGUUGUAGAUCAGUUGUAGUAUCUGUUUGAUCCACCAGGUGGCACCCCUGACUGUUUACUACUGUAGCGACCAGAGGAGGCUCAUUAAGACUACAGGUAGUUCAUGCUGGCAAGCAGAGAGCAUUGUGGGAGUUCAGGUAGUAAAGGGCCACCAAGACAGAAACUAUUGUGAUGGUUAAUGGAUGCCAACAAGCUUAAACAUUAUGGGAGGAGCUUUAGUCUACCGUGUUAUUAAAUAAUAAAUUAUUGGUCGAUAAAACUGCAGAUUAUUGGUUAAUUGUUUAAAGUUUUUAUCUCUAAUUUGGGUUCAAAAACCUUCGUAAUGAGAAGGACCGGUGUAACUAGGAAACUCUGUACGACGAUGUUUUUUGAGCUAAAAUAAACAAACAGUUUAUGCUUUGAUCUCAAAUUCAAACAAUAAAAAUCUAUUAAAAAAAAAAAAAA